rnacentral:rRNA from 1 species
GACGAACGCUGGCGGCGUGCUUAACACAUGCAGGUCGAACGGAAAGGCCCUGCUUUUGUGGGGUGCUCGAGUGGCGAACGGGUGAGUAACACGUGAGUAACCUGCCCUUGACUUUGGGAUAACUUCAGGAAACUGGGGCUAAUACCGGAUAGGAGCUCCUGCUGCAUGGUGGGGGUUGGAAAGUUUCGGCGAUUGGGGAUGGACUCGCGGCUUAUCAGCUUGUUGGUGGGGUAGUGGCUUACCAAGGCUUUGACGGGUAGCCGGCCUGAGAGGGUGACCGGCCACAUUGGGACUGAGAUACGGCCCAGACUCCUACGGGAGGCAGCAGUGGGGAAUAUUGCACAAUGGGCGGAAGCCUGAUGCAGCAACGCCGCGUGCGGGAUGACGGCCUUCGGGUUGUAAACCGCUUUCGCCUGUGACGAAGCGUGAGUGACGGUAAUGGGUAAAGAAGCACCGGCUAACUACGUG